GUUUACGUCCUUGUUGACUUCCGGUGUACAUAAGAUUUAUGAGAGAGUGCCUACAUCAGUUUCCUGCAACACCAUGGACAAACGUUAUUUGGAUACAACCAGAAUACAGUCGACUCGUGCUUUUCACGCAGAGUACAACCAACUCAUAGUAUAUCAAUCAUAGUAUAUGGAUGGAGACGUGAAUUUAGAAGUUGAAAGAAAGCUUGAACUUCCGUCAAGUUAAUCGCAAAGACUGUUUACCUACCGUGACGUCAUCACGUGGCUGUGUAUGGGACUGGUUGAUAGGACUCGAAGUAAGACGACUUGUACCCAUAUUUAGCACAUAUCUCGAUCUAAGGUGAGCGCGGAGCACUCUAGGACAUGAAAGCCUUCGGAGGAAAUCCAGUGCAAAAAUUAUAUAUGGGUUUGCAGACGAAAAGUGGAAUUAUUAGACAUUAACCCGUGCAUGCACGGAUAGAUAUAUAAGAUAAUUAUAGUGGAUUUGGAAGUAAAAAUCAGACAUUGAAGUCUUAAGGUCUUAACGGAAUAAAGAUGGAAAUCACACGUAUUAUUAUCAAUUACAUGGGAUUUUGUUGUGAUUGUGUUUUACGCAAAAGUGGAAGUUGUAUAAUGAAAGAUGAAGACAACGAACAGUGAUCAAUCUCAUAACUCCUAUAAGCAAUGCAAAGUAGAAAGUUGGGCAAACACGGACCCCUGGACACACCAGAGGUGGGAUCAGGUGCCUAGGAGGAGUAAGCAUCCCCUGUCGAUCGGUCACACCCGCCGUGAGCCCUAUAUCCUGAUCAGGUAAACGGAGUUAUCCGUAGUCAAAAUCAGUGUGCCAGGAACGACAUAACAAUCGGUAUGAAACACGUUAGACAGCAUUUGAUCCAAUGAUAGGUGGUAUUGACAAACUAGAUCGUUAUAAAGACCAUAGAAUUUGCGAAAUGCUGACUUCAAUCGAGACUGUUGAAACCCAUGUACCAUCAACUUGUUUGUCAGUAGCUUGAACAUGUACCAUCAACUUGUUUGUCAGUAGCUUGAAUAAUGCAUAAAUGUGAUGUCUCCGUAUAAGUGAAAUAUAUAUUUUUUGAAAUGUCAUUAAGCUGACCUUUCUUAGGACCCAUCUUCAAAUUGAACAUAUCCCUAAAGAUAGGAAAUUCAAUAAAUAAAUAAAUAUAGAUUGAUUCAAUUCAUAUAUUUUGUAAUAUUUGAACUUAUAUUCAUUUAUUAAUUAGACCCAUCAUCAAAUAAUUGAACGUAACUAUAAGUGAUUAAAAAUAAAUUUUGUUAAAUAAAAGAUGGCUUCAAUUAUAUACAUGCAUACUCUCAAGUUGGUUCAGUUAUAUAGUAUCAAGGGGAUUAUAUGUGUCCAACUCAGUUGCAGAUAUGUUCAAAUAGUAGAAUAUUAAAAAUGUGUUAAUUGAAUUCAUAAGUAGAUGUCUACUGAAUUACACCUUCAAAUCUUUCGUGGAUAUGUUACAAAGUGUAAACACCUAUACUUGAUUUAGCUCCACUUAUCCACAUUCAAUUAGAUAUAGGUCAGAUUAUUGGACCGGAGGGGCAGCAGGGUUUGGUGCUCGCAUCCUCCAAAAACUUCGAUAAAGGAAAGACAGUAGCAUAAGGACUAUGCCAAUGAAAGGCAAAGGAUGUAUUACGUGAUGGAGUAUGAAUCGAGAUAGGGACUGCCAAACUCCCAACUGGCAGAGACAAAUUAUGACAAAGAUACAAUGGAGAAAACAUGCUCGUAGUCAUACAAUGUAAUUCAUUGUAUAUCAUGCAUCUAAUGUAAUUGAGAUGUAGGUUUGUACAACAAAAACUGUGAAUGUUACAGUGAUUGAAAAUUGAAAUGAUAUGACAUGUACAAUUUACAAAGAAAUGAAAUGGUUUGGUAAGCAAGUUUUCAGAAUAUUUAAGGGAUCAUUUUAAAAGAUCAUUAGAUCUUCAGAAGUGAUUGAGAUAUUAAACCAUGGCAGUUCUCGCAAGAUGUGCAUGUUGAACUAUAAGAAGAUGAGACUUAAAGAUAACAUAUAGAGAUCUUAUCCACAUACGUAUACAUGUAUAGCUCUAAUGUCCUCCACCACAUGCUAAAAAUAUAUUUAUUUAUAUGUAUGUACACUCUACAUGUAUGCAUUUGUGUAUAUGCCCCAAUGCCCCAUCCACUAGCAUGCGAAUAAAAUAGACCUACCCCCGCCCGAGUGAUAUCCUCAUGUGAAUUGCAAAUAGACGUACUCCCAUCCAUGAGAAACAAAAAAAAAAAAAAAGAAACAAAAAAAAAAAACAACCUGAUAUUACUCCAAAGAUCACUACUCCAAAAUAUGUCAAAGGGUGAUUACGUAAUUUGUUCUAUUGAAGUGUCUGACAUUUUUAGAGAAUGAAAACCGUCAGUAACUGUUUGCAACAUGUGCAUAUACAUCAUAAGAUGGGAUUAAUUUUUAUUUCUUACGUUUGGUUUUAUGGUUUUAACCUUUCGAGAUCCAUCCCUCUUUCUUCCUAAUGCGCACGCGCUGAUUAUAAAUUCUUAAUUAACCGUAAUAGAUUAUAAAAAGUAUGUUUAAAUAUGAAAACUACAACAAGGUAAAAUUUUAUCAUAUUAAAAGCAAAAGACAGCUCUCUCCCAAAUAGCUGGCAUAAAAAUUCGAGUACAUAAUUAUCAUACACUGUAAAUUCGUAAAUAUACGCAUGGAAUUUAUCAUCGCGACACUCGCGAAAUAAAUAACUUAUUCGCUUUAAUUUUCAUAUUGCUAAAAUAUAUGUAUAAACUCUUGAUCAACAGAGCACGCGCAAAUUCAUGUUCUCGCGAUUUGACAUAUACAUGAACGAGUCAUUUUGUGAUAUUAGGUACUCGCGUAAAAUAAGAAUCCACAGUAGUAUUGAUAUAUACAUGUACACCUACUGACAGUUUUCAUGAACUCUACUUUCUUUUUAUGUCUCCGCAACAAGCUAAAAAACAACGUUAACAUAAACGUUUCAGUCAAUAGAUUGUAUAAUAUUCAAACGUUUCUCAUUUCAUGAAAAUAAUAUUUUCAU